GCUCAGAUUGAACGCUGGCGGCAGGCCUAACACAUGCAAGUCGAACGGUAACAGGAAGUGCUUGCACUUCGCUGACGAGUGGCGGACGGGUGAGUAAUGCUUGGGAACUUGCCUUUGCGAGGGGGAUAACAGUUGGAAACGACUGCUAAUACCGCAUAAUGUCUACGGACCAAACGGGGCUUCGGCUCCGGCGCAAAGAGAGGCCCAAGUGAGAUUAGCUAGUUGGUAAGGUAAAGGCUUACCAAGGCAACGAUCUCUAGCUGUUCUGAGAGGAAGAUCAGCCACACUGGGACUGAGACACGGCCCAGACUCCUACGGGAGGCAGCAGUGGGGAAUAUUGCACAAUGGGGGAAACCCUGAUGCAGCCAUGCCGCGUGUGUGAAGAAGGCCUUCGGGUUGUAAAGCACUUUCAGUUGUGAGGAAAAGUUAGUAGUUAAUACCUGCUAGCCGUGACGUUAACAACAGAAGAAGCACCGGCUAACUCCGUGCCAGCAGCCGCGGUAAUACGGAGGGUGCGAGCGUUAAUCGGAAUUACUGGGCGUAAAGCGCACGCAGGCGGUUUGUUAAGCUAGAUGUGAAAGCCCCGGGCUCAACCUGGGAUGGUCAUUUAGAACUGGCAGACUAGAGUCUUGGAGAGGGGAGUGGAAUUCCAGGUGUAGCGGUGAAAUGCGUAGAUAUCUGGAGGAACAUCAGUGGCGAAGGCGACUCCCUGGCCAAAGACUGACGCUCAUGUGCGAAAGUGUGGGUAGCGAACAGGAUUAGAUACCCUGGUAGUCCACACCGUAAACGCUGUCUACUAGCUGUUUGUGACUUUAAGUCGUGAGUAGCGAAGCUAACGCGCUAAGUAGACCGCC
rnacentral:rRNA from 1 species